UACGUAGGGUGCAAGCGUUAAUCGGAAUUACUGGGCGUAAAGCGUGCGCAGGCGGUUCGUUGUGUCCUGUGUGAAAGCCCCGGGCUUAACCUGGGAAUGGCAUGGGAAACUGGCGGACUUGGAGUGUGGCAGAGGGGGGUGGAAUUCCCGGUGUAGCAGUGAAAUGCGUAGAGAUCGGGAGGAACAUCAGUUGCGAAGGCGGCCACCUGGACCAGCACUGACACUGAGGCACGAAAGCGUGGGGAGCAAACAGG
rnacentral:rRNA from 1 species